UGAAAGAGUCAGGACAGGAGGA
rnacentral:misc_RNA from 1 species